UACGGAGGUGGCAAGCGUUGCUCGGAAUCACUGGGCGUAAAGGGCGCGUAGGCGGGGAGGUAAGUCGGGUGUGAAAUCCCUCGGCCCAACCGAGGAACUGCGCCCGAGACUGCUUCUCUUGAGUCCCGGAGAGGAAGGUGGAAUUCCCGGUGUAGCGGUGAAAUGUGUAGAGAUCGGGAGGAACACCGGUGGCGAAGGCGGCCUUCUGGACGGUGACUGACGCUGAGGAGCGAAAGCGUGGGGAUCAAACAGG
rnacentral:rRNA from 1 species